rnacentral:rRNA from 1 species
UACAGAGGGUGCAAGCGUUAUUCGGAAUUAUUGGGCGUAAAGAGCACGUAGGUGGCUUUGUAAGUCUGAUGUGAAAUCCCUGGACUCAAUCCAGGAAGUGCAUCGGAUACUACAUGGCUUGAGGAUAGGAGAGGAGAGCGGAAUUCCUGGUGUAGAGGUGAAAUUCGUAGAUAUCAGGAGGAACAACAGAAGCGAAGGCGGCUCUCUGGACUAUAACUGACACUGAGGUGCGAAAGCGUGGGGAGCAAAC